rnacentral:rRNA from 1 species
AUUGAACGCUGGCGGCAGGCCUAACACAUGCAAGUCGAACGAGUGGCGGACGGGUGAGUAAUGUCUGGGAAACUGCCUGAUGGAGGGGGAUAACUACUGGAAACGGUAGCUAAUACCGCAUACCAUCAGAUGUGCCCAGAUGGGAUUAGCUAGUUGGUGGGGUAACGGCUCACCAAGGCGACGAUCCCUAGCGGGUCUGAGAGGAUGACCAUCCACACUGGAUCUAAGGCACGGUCCAGCCUCCUACGGGGUGAAGCAGGGGGGAAUAUUGCACAAUGGGCGCAGGCCUGAUGCAGCCAUGCCGCGUGUAUGAAGAAGGCCUUCGGGUUGUAAAGUACUUUCAGCGGGGAGGCGUUACCCGAAGAAGAAGCACCGGCUAACUCCGUGCCAGCCGCCGCGGUAAUAC